rnacentral:lncRNA from 12 species
CUUAUACCCAGGUAUAAAUUGAUUUUCUAAUUUACCAGUUUCAUUGACUUAAUCUGACCUCUAGGUGGCAGCAGCUCUAAUCUCUCCAAAGAGAAGAAAAGAGCUGUAUGUUGAGAGAGAGAGAGAGAGAGAGAGAGAUUAACAUCACUGAACCUCAGUUCUUGACCAGGUAAAAGUAGAGGCCAACAUUCCAUGUCACGGCUACAGAGGCGUGAAAUGAACACCGUCUAGGGAAUACGGAGGGACAGACAACACGUGUUUAGUGUCACGUAUUUGUCACCUACUCAUUACAACUCACUCAGAAUUAAUUGGGAUUUUGAGGUUGUUGUCCUGGGCUUGAACUUAAUAUUUUCUUCAUACCUGUUAUUUAAUUCCGCAGAAGAUACUGCUGCUUCUGCCAGAAGUUCAGCAGAUGAGUGAGAGAGAACAAAGACUGGCUGGAGCUCCAGUUCUGCUAUGUCAUUGCUAUGUGACCCUUCUGAGCUCCCAUUUCCUUAGCCUGAGUCAUUUAUGUGCAUUUAAAGCUAUCUUUGGAUGCAGCCCUGCUAAAGCACAAGGUAGUCUGAUGAUGAAGUACUUCACCCAUUUGCACUUGUUUAGAAGAAUACCCUCCACUUCUCCGCAGUGUACUUCUCAAGUAAAGCAAGUUGGAUAUUGGCUCCUACGUUGCCCUUUGUGUACAAUUUCUUUUGACUCUUAA